GAUAAUAUAUUUCAAUUUUUAUUAGUAUUAAUAUAUUGAAAAUUAUAAAGUUUUAAGGGAAAAUUUAUUAGGUGAAAUUUUAAGGUUUUUAAAAAAUUUAUUUAUAUUGAUUAGUUAAUAAAUUUAGUAGUAGACUAGGAUUAGAUACCCUAUUAUUUUAAAUGUAAAAUUAAGCUAGAUUAGUAUUAGUUAUGUUCUUGAAAAUUAAAGAUUUUGGCGGUUUUUUAGUCUAUUCAGAGGAACCUGUUCUAUAAUCGAUAGUCCACGAUUUAGAUAACCUUUAUUAUAAAUUUGUAUAUCGUCGUAGUUUGAAUAUUUUAAAAGAAUUUAAAUAUUCAAAAUUUAUUUUUUAAAUAAUAUCAGAUCAAGGUAUAGUUCAUAUAAAGGUAGAAAUGGGUUACAUUAAUUUUAAUUAAGGAUAAUUUAUUGAAAAUAGAUUUAAAUAAGGAUUUGAAAGUAAUUUUUAAAAAUUUUAAAGAUGAUUUUAGCUCUAAAAUAUGCACAUAUCGCCCGUCGCUUUCAUUUUAAGGUGAAAUAAGUCGUAACAAAGUAGGCUUACUGGAAGGUGAGCCUAGAAAGACAAGUUAGAGCUUGUAUAUAAAGCAUUUUAUUUACAUUAAGAAGUUAAUUGUGAAAAUCAAUUUAAUUUGAUUUUAAAAAUAUUAUUUUUAAUUAAAAAUUAAAUUAAAUUAAAAAAUAAAAUUAUUUUUUAGUAAAUCUGGGAAAAAAUUAUGUUAAUAAUAGGUUAUUAGUAUUGAGAAAGAAUUAUUAUUAAAAUUUUAAAAGAAGAAGAAAAUUUU
rnacentral:rRNA from 1 species